rnacentral:rRNA from 1 species
UAAGCGGAGGAAAAGAAACUAACAAGGAUUCCCCUAGUAACGGCGAGUGAACCGGGAAGAGCUCAAAUUUGAAAUCUGGCAGUCUUCGAUUGUCCGAGUUGUAAUCUAUAGAAGCGUUUUCCGUGCUGAACUGUGUAUAAGUCCCUUGGAACAGGGUAUCAAAGAGGGUGACAAUCCCGUACUUUACACAAUCAUCAGUGCUCUGUGAUACGUUCUCUACGAGUCGAGUUGUUUGGGAAUGCAGCUCAAAAUGGGUGGUAAAUUCCAUCUAAAGCUAAAUAUUGGCGAGAGACCGAUAGCGAACAAGUACCGUGAGGGAAAGAUGAAAAGCACUUUGGAAAGAGAGUUAAACAGUACGUGAAAUUGUUGAAAGGGAAACGAAAUUCAUGAAUCAUGUUUAUUGGACUCAGCCGUUCUUCGGUGUACUUCCUUUAAACGGGUCAACAUCAGUUUUGUCCGAUGGAUAAAGGUAGUAGGAAGGUGGCUCUCUCGGGAGUGUUAUAGCCUAUUGCUGCAUACAUUGGAUGAGACUGAGGACUGCAGCUUGCCUUUAUGGCCGGGGUUCGCCCACGUUCAAGCUUAGGAUGUUGACAUAUUCUCGAAUCACGACCCGUCUUGAAACACG